UACGGGGGGAGCAAGCGUUGUUCGGAUUUACUGGGCGUAAAGGGCACGUAGGCGGCGCAACAAGUCACUUGUGAAAUCUCCGGGCUUAACCCGGAGCGGCCAAGUGAUACUGUCGUGCUAGAGUGCGGAAGGGGCUACUGGAAUUUACGGUGUAGCGGUGAAAUGCGUAGAUAUCGUAAGGAAGACCAGUGGCGAAGGCGGGUCUCUGGACAGUUCCUGACGCUGAGGCACGAAGGCCAGGGGAGCAAACAGG
rnacentral:rRNA from 1 species